rnacentral:rRNA from 1 species
UACGAAGGGGGCUAGCGUUGCUCGGAAUCACUGGGCGUAAAGCGCACGUAGGCGGCUUCUUAAGUCAGGGGUGAAAUCCUGGAGCUCAACUCCAGAACUGCCUUUGAUACUGAGAAGCUUGAGUUCGGGAGAGGUGAGUGGAACUGCGAGUGUAGAGGUGAAAUUCGUAGAUAUUCGCAAGAACACCAGUGGCGAAGGCGGCUCACUGGCCCGAUACUGACGCUGAGGCACGAAAGCGUGGGGAGCAAACAGG